CAGCGCCACGAGUGGGAACCACAUUUAUUUGGCCUAAAGCGUCCGUAGCUGGUUUAGUAAAUCCUUUGUGAAAUCAUCGGGCUUAACCUGAUGUCGUGCAGGGGACACUGCUAAACUCGAGACCGGGAGGAGUCAGAGGUAUUUUGGGGGGAGCGGUAAAAUGCUAUAAUCCCUGAAGGACCACCUGUGGCGAAGGCGUCUGACUAGAACGGUUCUGACAGUGAGGGACGAAAGCUAGGGGAGCGAUCCGGAUUAGAUACCCGAGUAGUCC
rnacentral:rRNA from 1 species